rnacentral:lncRNA from 1 species
AAAAAUUAUCACAAGAUGAAAGUUAUGAACUGUUCAAGAAAAUAGCAUUUUCAGAUAGAGGAGUUCUAGAGACCGAGGCAUUCGCGACCUUGGGGAGAAGCAUGGUGAAGAGGUGUGGUGGCCUACCUCUGGCAAUAAAAGCAUUGGCGGGGGUGUUAUACUCGAAGAAGUGAAGAGGUGUGGUGGCCUACCUCUGGCAAUAAAAGCAUUGGCGGGGUUGUUAUACUCGAAGAAGUCUGAGCAAGAAUGGUUGGAGAUCCAAAGCAGUGAAACAUGGCAAUCAAAAAGAGUAUUGCCUUCCUUGAAGUUAUCAUAUGACAAUUUACCUUCUUUGUCAAUUAAACAAUGUUUUGCAUAUUGCUCUAUUAUGCCAAAGGAUUCAGUCAUUUAUAAGGAUGAACUGAUACAGAUAUGGAUGGCAUUAGGGUUCCUCCAGCCCCCAAGAAGUACUGCACUGAUGGAAGAUAUUGGCAGCGAUUACUUCGAAAUUCUGUUGGGGAAUUCUUUGUUACAAGACGAAAAAAAGGAUGACAUUGGGAACAUCAUCAGUUGCAAGAUGCAUGAUCUAGUGCAUGAUCUUGCACUAGAAGUAUCUGAACAUCAUGCAGUAACUGUGAAGGCAGGUAAAGAGCUGAGUCAUGAUUGCAAGGCUGUAUACGUGAGGCUUGAUAACGGGGUUUCAAAUAUCAAACCAACGAUUCUGAAGCGUGCCUUUGAGAGAGUACAAGUAUUAUAUGCUGGGGCAGAUGUCAUUCUUCAUGUGUUACCUUAUCUCACCCACCUGACUGUUCUGGUGUUAAAUGUGGAUUAUAGUUGGGAUGCCCGGAAGUUGCCAUUUUCGCUACGCAAGAUGAAAUAUCUUAAACAUCUUGAUAUUUCACGCUGCGACUUUAGAUUGCCCACUGACAUCACAGAAUUGUACAACUUGCAGACACUGAGAGUUGGAAACCUAAAUCAGCUUCCUACAAGGUUUAGCAACUUGAUCAAUCUGAGACAUUUGUGCAUUAAAAAUAUUAGCUCUUAUGGUGAAAGACACGUGCUUAAUGGGAUAAGAAGGUUGACAAGUCUGCAAACGCUUUCUUACUUUGUUGUGAGUAAAGAUCAAAACUGUCUCGUUGGACAACUGGGAGGGUUGAAACAUCUUAGGGGUGAGGUUGGACUCCAUGGCCUUGACGAGGUGAAAAAUAUUGAAGAAGCAAGAAAAGCAAAGCUUUGUGAGAAGUCCAGUAUUCUGUGUUUAGAGUUGAACUGGGGUUCCAGCGGUGAGGAUAGUGGCAAUGAAGAAGAAGUAAAAGAUAAAGAAUAUAACGACCAGGAUGUGAUGGAAGGAUUGGAACCUCACCCAAAUCUGAAAAAGUUAAAGAUUGUCGGUUUUAGAGGAAAGAAGUUUGCAUCUUGGAUUACAAUGAUGCUGAACUUGGUGAAAAUCACAUUCAGAAACUGCAACCGAUGCGAAGUACUUCCACCACUUAGUCACCUUCCCAAAUUGAGGAAGAUAUUGAUUGAUGGGAUGGCAAAUGUUAGGGUUGUGGGAGAUGAUUUUUGUAGUGGCCAAAGUGUAUUUCCUCAACUUGAGGAGUUGGAGAUUAGGGAUUGUCCAAAGUUGAGAAAGAUACUGCCUGUUUGUUUUCCGUCAUUGAAACAAGUCACCUUUGUCGAACUGCCAAAUCUAGAAGAAUGGGAAGCAGCAGUUAUAAGUACAGGGGCUAGUUCUCAAAGUGAAUUUCCUAAACUUGAGAGUUUGGAAUUUUGGAGAUGUCCAAGGUUGAGAAAGAUCCCGAAUAGUUCUUUUCCUUCCUUAAAGCAAUUGCAAAUUACUCAUUUGAAGAGUGAUAUGAUAUUGGGAAAUAUGAGCAGGAAUGUUAGCUUACUAACCUCUCUACGUCUUACAAGUAUCGGUGACGGACGAGGAUACUCAUCUUCUUUAUCUUCGUUUUCGAACAUGGAAUCCCUGAUUAACAAUUCUCUGUCUUUGACCAAAUUAGAGCUAAUUGAUUGCAAGGGAUUAAAUUGUCUGACUCUUGGUAGCUCCCUUGAAUACUUAGAGAUCCAUGAUUGCCCGCAUCUAACUAGUAUAUUUUUAGUUGAAGGGUCAGCUGCUCUUAAUUAUAUUGGGAUUGCGAAACUCCCCCCCUCUCUUCUAGAUGGGGGAUUUCCCCAAAUUCAUAGUUGCAGGCUUGAAUAUCUGAGAUUAGGUCCCUUCUCAGAUGAUUGGGAUUAUAUGCCAUGGCCAAUAUCAUCUUCUUCUUCUUCUAACCUAAUUAAGCUAGACCUGUAUGGGUGGGAAAAGGUUAAGUCAUUAGUGCCCUUUGAGCAACCCCUGUUCACCGGCUACCCUGCCUUGACUACCAUGAGUUUAUAUAAUUUCGAAGGAAUGAAAGCUCUUCCGGAUUCAAUAGCAAAACUCCCAUCUAUCAAGGAAUUAAGAAUCUGGGAUUGUCAUAAUUUGGAGAGUUUGCCCACGUUUGAAGAAUCACAUACCCUUCAAACACUGAGUAUAUGUGAGUGUCCUGUUCUGAAACAAAGAUGCAGGAAGGAUCAAGGGCCAGAAUGGUUCAAAAUUCAAUACGUUCCAAAUGUAAAAUGGUAAGCUUUGCAUGUCAAAUUUAUCUCUUCUCCCUCUCAGUUAAUCUGUUUGUACUAUUUAAUUGAUAUAUCUGAUUUUGUUAAAUCAGGGAUCAUACAAGGAGUCAGGGAAGUUUUUUAACUUUUUAGCUUGGUGAUUGUCUCUACUCCAUCUUCCCUUCCUUGACUGAUUUGUAUGAGUAAAUUCAAAGAAGAGAAAGCUCUCCCGAGUUCAAUAGCAGACCUUCUAUCGCUCAAGCAGUUACUUAUCUGAAAUUCUGAGAAUUUGGAGAGUUUGCCCAUGUUUGAGAACAACGGUAAUUUUCCAAAUCUGAAAGAAUGAUACACGGAAGAGAGAUGGUCCAAGAUUCAACAUAUUCCAGAUGUAACUUAUGUAAAUUGGCAUAUCUGAAUGAUCACCUCACCCUCUGUUUGUCACUAUUUAAUGAUAUAUUUUAAUUUGUUGAAUCAGGAUUUAGAUAUUGCAGUAUCUCCAUCUUGUCAUUAUUUUCCAUGUUCAUUUUCCAAAAAUUAUACUCCUAAAUCAGAUAAGAUAUAGCGCAUCUUGGUGAGUUGCUUGUUGUAAUAGUAACUGAAAUAGUGAUUAUGAAUGUUACUUUUCAGUAUCAGAAUAGUGCAUCAUGGAUAAUAUUUUAUAUGAUUUCUUUUUAUACAUCAAUAUUUCUAUGUUUUUUUUUUUGGUUCAAUGAUCUAAUAACUGCAUGGUGCAGCUCUUCAAGGUGUUUUGGGACUGAGAUAAAUGAUGCAGAAGCCAAGCCUCUUCUCUUGUGUUCGUCCAAUGAAAUAUGAAUAAUCAAGUGCAGUAAUGUCAUUAUAAUUGUCUACUCCUUUGUCAAGAAUGCCCUGUAGGAAUAAAAAACAGAGCUCACUGAGCUCAGUAAGAGAAUCCAAGUGUUGGCAUACAAUGAGAUCGGGUAAUUAGGGCUAAUUCAUUGUUGUACUAUACCGAAAGUUUCAAUUGAGUAACUAGACUAAAAAAAGUUACAAUUGUAUCAUAAAAUUGCAGUAACUUUCAAUAACUCAAAAUUACUUGCACUAUCGUUAAAAUGCGUUGACUAUUAACAAAGAUCCAUUCAACAAUGUUACAUUAAAUCUAGUUCAUAUAUCAUAACAAUAAAUCUAUAAAUAGAUAGUUUCUCCUCCCAUUUUUCAUGGCUUAUUACUACCACUAUCCUUCAUCACCGUUUUAAUUACAUAUCAUGCUAUUGAUUUCAUUAAAUCUGCAUCCACGUGCAAAGUAACACCGGAUAGUACAGCAGCAGUUAAUAACAAGUUUCAACUGCCGGGUAACAUAAGCUACUACUGGAUACUGCAUAUAUUCUCAUACACAGCACUGAUAUGUACUUCCUAUCUCACAAAUUCUCCUUUUCAAUUUGAAUUUAAAUUCUGGAAAAAGGUUUUCUCUCUUCAUUCAUACAAGCAGAUACAUAUAUUCUUUAGUCUUCCCUCUCCCAAUCGAUGGAUGAGUUAGUUUACACAGCGUCUGUAUAUAACUAUUUUGUCCUGCAUGAUUGUUCUAUGAAUUAGUUUAAUUUUAACAAUUUCUCUUUUUCUGAAUUAGUUGUAGCAGUUCGAAGAGGGUUAUCCAGUAUCUGCUGUUGCUGGUUCUACAAACAAACAUGGAAAGGGUGAUGGAGUUCUUUGAACCUGGUAUGUUCUUGAUCGACCUCUGCUUCUUCUUUUUUCCGUACUCUUUGCCGUCUUCCAACUGUUGUUAUAAUUUCAAUGUGCAUUCUUCUUUUAUCGUGCUUAGGAAAAUCGCCUAGGACGCUUUUCAGUGAUGUUCCAAACUUAACAAACUAUUCGAGUUACAGUUCUUUGUCGCCUAGGACCUUCAUAUUUGUUAUGGAUAUUGUUCUUGGGUAAAUUUAUGGUUACGGAGGAUUUUGUAUCACGCUUUUUAAGUGUUUGACAAAAUUCUUGGGUAACAUCUAAAAUAAAAGCUAUUAUUUAUUUAUAAAUAAUUUUCACUUAUAAACAAUAAAUGCUUCUUUAAGUUAAGCCUCGAGUUAUAGAUUCGGGAAAUGAUGAUCUUGGAAAAGAAUUUUAGCCUAUGUAGUUGAGAACAAAGUUCAUGUGUUAGUUUAAAAAAAUAGUAUUUGCUUAUGUUGUAUAAAAAUGUACGGUACAUAUCACCUUAAUGAUCUUAUAAUAUUUUUCUAAAAAAUAUAGAUAUAAUAUAAAAUAUUAUUUUAUUAUAUUAACUUUACUUUAUUUGACUAAAAUCAUCAUAUAAAGUAAAACUCCCAAAAUCUUCUCACUUAUAACAUGAAUUUUGAUAACCAUUAGAGGCCGUUUGGAAACAUGGAUUUAAUUUCAAAUGAUGAAUUUCAAAUUAUAGGAUUUGAAUUGUCAUUUUAAAUUCUUAAAUUUAUACUAAUAUUUGAAUGUUUGGAUUUCAAAUGAACUCAACACUAAGCAGACCCCAGAAAAACUCCAUAGAGAUACUCAUACCUCCAAGUACUACAUAUAGAUAUACAUAAUUUCAAUUUUAAGACCUGUUUGUUUGCUUAUAGUCCUAUAUGCAAUCUGUAUUAAUUUUGUUAAGUCAAACAAUUAGUCUCCACCGGCAAGCAUUCUAAGAAAGACAAGGAAGUUGUAAAACAUCUAUAUCAGCACACAAAAUGUGGUAACCUGUCACAGCAAAUAACUCAAAAAAAAGGAUUACAAAAAUGCCAGAUGUGGAAAUGGAGAAACUCAACAUGAACGGGAGAGUUUUAUCAGGUUUUUGAAAAACUUGUAUAUAUAUGAUGUUUACUAAAUUUUCUGCUAAUCUAUUUCAUGAAAUUUAUGAGACUUGGCAGUAACAAGUAACAACUGUAUUAUGACUGGGAAGAAUGACAUACACAUCAAAAAGCAUAAUCUGACAAUAAUGUGCGUUCCUUCCAUUCAUCCCAUACAGACACGAAGUUGCAUUAUUUACCAGGCCAAUACUGUGCUUGAUGGAUAUAGAAUAAUAACUGGAUCAUUACUUUAAACAUUAUCUCUUUCUUGUUACUGAUUAACAUGUUCGUUUAAUAAAUCAUAGUCUUUCAUAUUUUUGAAUUGCGGUUGAAGUUUACUAUCAAUGUUCUUCCUAUGUAUGUUCACAGUUUACGAUUGUGUUGUUUUACCUAGAGUGUGAGAUUUCUUAAUGUGAUCAUAUAUGCGUGAAGAUAUUCUUCUUUUUUAAUAUACUGAUAAAUUACAGUCACAUCAAAUAUCUGGAAAUCGCAGAGAGUAGAGAGUUUGUUUUAUAUAUUUAAUCCUCGAGUCUGUUUUUUCUGUAAUAGGACCAAACUCUGGGAUCGACAAACGUAUUGGGGUUUCAGAUUAUAAGAUUGUUUCAAGAAACUGAGAAAAUGACAUAAUGAAUAUAUCAUAAAUAACAUAGCACAUUGUAGCGACCGCUUGUGAUCGUCCUAUUUGUUUGAUGAAAAUAAUUCAUUUCUAGAGAAUGGUGUACUUGUUGCGUAAAAAUUACUGGGUUACUAAAUUCCCGCUUUUCUGUCAUUUUUACACGACAUCUUUUUAUUCAUUCAUAUCUUUGUGUUUUCAAGUUCAGUGACCAAAUAAUCUCGUGGUGCAACUCUUGGAAGUUGGAACUAUAGGAUAAGCGAUGCAGAAGUCAUGCUUACGGAUAGCCGGUAUGUUCUAAUAGAAAUGCAUAUACUUUUGAACUGUUCAUGGAGCAUACCAAGAGAAGUAGUUAGCAUGUAUUCACUAUUUAAUUUGGCAUUUUCUCUUAAUUUAUUGAAUCCAUGUGCUGGUCUCAGUUAUAACGUGUUUGCCAGUCCUGAUCAUAUGUUUGCAGUUUGCUCCAACCAAUCCAUUAAUUAAUCCGGCAAAGUCUCUGGAGUAAACACAUGAAUGAAUAGAUAUAUAAAUAAAGUCAAACAAAUUAAUCAAAAUUCACAUAGCAUCAACUAGCCAAUAUUAAAAUGAAAAAAAAUAAGGGUUCAUUCAGCAACUAAUCUAUAGUACCACUUGAUUCAGAAACUGUUAUAGCCCAUAUUACAUUUUUAUCAUCUCACCAAAUAUAUCUCAAGAAUUAUACCAGUCAAUACAAGAAAAGAUGGGCGAGGCUAUUGUUGCUGAUUUGGCUGGCGGAUUGCUCGGCAAGAUUGUUUCACUUGCAGCCGAAGAAGUUGUCCAGGCCUGGAAUUUUCAUGAAGAUCUCGACACACUCCACCAGCGCCUGGAAUUUAUUGAUUUCUUGCGAGUGAGGUGUCGAUAUAUAUGAAUCGAGGGAUUUUGAUUCCGAUAAUUGGUUAGGGAUUUGAUCGAAAAAUUGAAUAAAAAUUAGGAUUUCAUGUAAAUGACUGAGGGAGAGAACCCAAGAUUGGCUCUGCAAAGAAAAUCUAGAUAGGAUGGGAUAUGGAUAAGACAAUUAUUAGGUUGACUGGUUGAGUGGUGGAAAACAAAGAAUGAUCAGCCAAUAUUAAAAUGCAAAACAAAGGUUGAUGUAGCAAUUUGCCACUUGAUUUAGAAACUGUUAUAGCCCAAAUUACAUUUUUAUCAUCUCACCAAAUAUAUCUCAAGAAUUAUACCAGUGAUCAAUACAAGAAAAGAUGGGCGAGGCUAUUGUUGCUGAUUUGGCUAGCGGAUUGCUGGGCAAGCUUGUUUCACUAGCAGCAGAGGAAGUUGUCCAGGCCUGGAAUUUUCAUGAAGAUCUCGACACACUCCACCAGCGCAUGGAAUCAGUCGGGGCUCUCUUGUACGAUGCUCAUACCAAGAAUUUAAUCAUGUCUACUGCCAAAAUCUGGUUUGACAAACUUGAAGCUGUUGCGAAUGUUGCUAAUGUUUUUAUGGAUGAACUUGCAUAUGAAGUCACUCGAAGAAAAGUGGAGAAUGGCCAUAAGUCAUCAGACUUCUUCAUUCCUUCCAAAAAUACUUUACUAUAUCGUCUCAAGGUGGCUCGUAAAAUCAAGUCCAUUCAAGCUUCCUUUGAUAAAAUUUUCAAAAUGGCAGUAGAUCUGGGACUACAGCCUGUGGCUUAUUUAGGGUCAACGGUGCAAGAUAGAGACAUCCGCAGCACCCCUUCCUCUGAAGACAAGUCAAUAAUAGUUGGAAGAGAUAAAGAUGUAUCGUACCUAGUUCAAACAGUGUGCAAAACACAUGAAGAGGAUUUACAAGUCCUUGUUGUAGCGGGAAUGGGAGGUCAAGGCAAGACAACUCUUGCUCGUAUGGUGUUCAACAGUAAUGAUACCAUUCAUAAUUUCCCAGAGAGGAUGUGGGUCACUGUAUCAGAUGAUUUUUAUUACAUCAAGAUUUUAAAUGAAAUGAUAGAAUCACUUACCUCAACGAACUUGGGAUUGAAAAAUCCCCAAGGACUGACCAAUGAGCUUCAAAAAAGUCUAAAGGGGAAAAGGUUCCUACUCGUACUAGAUGAUGUCUGGAAUGAAGAAUCGGUGAAGUGGGAUAACCUGAGAAAUUCUUUGCUUGAAAUUGGUGGUGACAAAGGAAGCUGUAUUCUGGUUACCACCCGUAAACAGGAAGUCAUUGAUGCCAUGAGAACUUCUGUAUUUUAUUGGCUGGGAAAAUUGUCAGAGGAUGAAAGUUAUGAACUGUUCAAGAAAAUAGCAUAUUCAGAUGGAGGAGUUUUAGAGACCGAGGCAUUGGCGACCUUGGGGAGAAGCAUGGUGAAAAGGUGUGGUGGCCUACCUCUGGCAAUAAAAGCAUUGGCGGGGUUGUUAUACUCGAAGAGGUCUGAGCAAGAAUGGUUGGAGAUCCAAAGCAGUGAAACAUGGCAAUCAAAAAGUGUAUUGCCUUCCUUGAAAUUAUCAUAUGAUAAUUUAC